rnacentral:misc_RNA from 1 species
UUUCCGUAGGUGAACCUGCGGAAGGAUCAUUAUUGUAUAACCCAGGUGCGAGGGAGGGCGCUGACCCGAAACGUCGUGCACGUUCGAGUGCCCGCACACAUAUCCUUCUAACCCCUUUGUGCAGCACAGCGUGGUUCCCCCUUUGGCUCGUUCGGGGCGUGGAUUACGUUUUCACACAAACUUUGUAUGCAGUGUAGAAUGUAUUUUUUGUUUUUGCGUUCACGCAAUCAAUACAACUUUCAGCAACGGAUCUCUUGGCUCUC